CAGCUGAGAGCACCUCUUGCACUGAAGACAGGGUGAAAGUGGUAUGUGAAGAUCUGCAGGCUCAAAGAUAUCUCAGUCGUUGCCCAUGUCAGCUGGUACCAGCAGAGUGACGACCUAGUGACUGUGUAUGCCAUGGUGGUGAGCAGAUGGGGAUCCCAAGCAAAUCUGAAUCCUGGAUGGCUCCAUCAAUCUCUAAAAUAGCACAUCUAAAGCCAUAUCAGUCUCCAUUUCCCAGCUUCCAGAUGGUUGCACUCCUUGGACAACUGCUUGAAACUCUAUUCAUCUUGCUUCUUCCCAUCUGUGAGGAAUUAGUGUUUGAACCCUCUAAGCAUCAAAUUGCAGCAACGUGAAUCUGUACUUCACCAGUCUGAAGAAGGAAUUACCUAGGACAAAUGUUUCUCUCUGCUCAAUCUCAUCUGAAAUCCCUAUAAAAUCAGAAUGCAGACAGGAGCUAGAAAUAAACAUUUAUAUACCUUUCCAGUCCCACUGGACUUCAAUCUACCACAAACACUUACUACAGCUAUUUAAAAAAUAUCUUGUAUUAUCAGUUGAUCCUCUCAUAGAAGUUGUAUCUGCCCAUUUGAUUUGAAUUUCAGUGGUAUUAUUUUGCGUGUGUUGAACUACAAAGAGAAGAAAAGGGUUUUGUUAUUCCUUUUCAUCAACUGAUCUAAUGCAAGAGGAAAAUUGCUGGUAAUUAUUUUUAUAGCAAUUAUGCUGGCCCAAACACCGUAAGUGCAAGCACAUUCCUUGUUAUUUAUUACAGAAAGAUCUCAAACCACAGACUGUUUAGAAUGCACAGCAUUUUAAUUAAUGAACUUUGAUGAAACUUAUUUUAAUACAGCUUUGUUUUCCUUAUUAAAUGACAAGAAAAAUUAAUUACAACAGAUCUGGUAGUGCUUUAAUGUAGUCAAGUUGCUGACUGUAUUUCAGUAGUUAACUUUCUUCCUUUGGAUAUGAACAGCAUGGCUGCUCUACAGGUGUUUUCUCAACCCAUUAUAAAUCUGUGAAGCUUGAACUUUUAUCAGAUUUUAUGCCUGAACAUAAAAAGAAUAUUUUUUUUUCUUAGUUGAAUUUAUCUUAAGCCGUAGGGAGCUGGUUGUCUUUUUGUAAAUGGGUGGC